ACAAAAACAAUGAUGGAGAGAAGUAAAAAGAAUAUUCACCCUUAGUGAGCUGGGGAUAGUGCGAACCCAGUGGCAGAGUUUUUUUGAAUAACACUCCGGAGUUGCAAACUGAAAUAUUUGUAAACUGUAAUUUAAACUAAAUGUUUUAUUUAGGUUCAAAUAAACUAGGUGCGCCGUAUUUCAUGCGUUAUUUGAAUACCAGUAGUAGCUGGAAAAAAAGAGACCAACAUGGUAAUUUAGGUGGCACCGCGGAUAAGCGUCAAUUCGUCCUAUUA
rnacentral:ncRNA from 1 species